rnacentral:lncRNA from 1 species
CAUAUAUAAUCCAAAAACUUUCUCUAUUUUUAGCUAAUUCCAGUUAAGCAGACCUCCAACCCCACUGUACAGUACACACUAAACCUCAUGGAGUUGCCUUGGCUAGAUUACUUUUUGCAGUUUACCCAAAACAACUGCAGCGCAUAAAUUUAGCAAGAGCACACAAGAAUGUGUAUAUGUGUGUGUGCUCCUUUCAGUCAGCUGCAUCUUUGCCACUUUUAUUGGCAUAAGCCACGGCAAGUUGCACGACAUUCGGUGCGUGCGGUAGACCCCGUACAGCGGACCCCGAGCUGCCUUUCACUCAUUUUGUAUUCAACAUUUGGCAUGCGCUCAAGUGAAAAGCAAACAUACAAUAAAUUAUAAGCGCCCACACACAGUGCCACAUGCCACAUGCCACAUGGCAUGCCCCGUGCAACUGCAGUGCUAGUGGAAAUUAAUGAGACGUGAGCAAAAAAGUGUAUCCUCUCCUCUCCGCAUAAAUGCCUCAACUUACGCAGUUUUGCAGCUGCAUCAUUCGAUUCAGCGAACUGCAACAGAAUUCUCACUGCAAAAAUUUCAAAUAUGAGUGGGCCACAAGGAUGGGAGCUCUGGGUUCUAUCUGGGAAACAAUUUUGGGGAAUUCGCAUUAGGCCAGGAAGCAGCAGAGAGAAAGUUAUUUCCGCAGCUGCGAAGUUUCCUGUUCGCUCGUUGGCAAGGGAAUUGAACUAAUGACCUCCGUGUGCAGUGUAGAGUUAUCAACUGUAAGAUCUAUCAAUAUUGUUGAAGCAAUUCAUUAUCGAAAUGUACUCUCCCGCAUAUAUUCAAAAGGUUAUGCUAAUUAUUAACAGCUUUACACACAUUCAAACCAUUUUCCUUUCCCCAUUUCAUUUCCUAGUUACGGGCAAACUUUUUUUCGCCAAUAAAUAAAGGCAAAAAAGUUUGUACAACUCUUCCCAAUGUGGGUAGGAGAUAGCAACUAAAAGCUAAUCAACGUCAGCUUAAUCAUUCUCCCCAUAAUAAUCAGCAGAAGCGGCAGCAGCAGAGGCAGUGGGAGACACCAGCAGCAACUCCGAAUGCAAUUAGCUACGACAACGUAAAACUUUGCAGCUUUUCUCCCACAUUUUUCCCCAUUUUCCCACCCAACCACUCACACACUCGACCGCCUAAUUAGGAACUUUUUCCACAUAGAUAGAGAGGCGGGUAGUCGCUCAGCUACGUACUUUGUUAUAUAAUGGCGAGAAGUGCCCAGGGCGGUGCAUGAAUACUCGUCGUACUUCCAGCAGUCAUCAGCUGUGACUCGUGUGUCAUGUCAUCAUGGCAGGAAGGAGUCUGAGAGCCCAACAGCACAGCAGCACUACAUCUACCUACAACGGAUGAACCAGUUCUGUCGAGAGUGCGGAAACUGCAGCCUCGAUUAUGUCAUUCGAGUGGCACCCCAACACUGCCCCACCCCGACGCUGUACCGCACAUCACUUUCCAUAUUUUUUAUAUCGUCAUAAUGCAUGUCUUAUCUGUGGCAUCGACAACAUCAGCAUCAGCAGCAGCAAACAACCAGCGGCAUGCAACAGUUCUGUGCGUGUGUUUUUGGUUAAUGUUUGCUCGUUUGCUCGUUUACUUGUAGGGCAUGUGGGGUGUAAUAAUGAAAUUACAUCCAAGUGGGAGAGAGUAGUACCAAGGGUUCUGUUCAAAUAUUUUCAGAUUUAACAACUUCAUUAACCAGGCCAACAGAAAGCGGCACACAACAGCGGAACUGACGCCUGUCAUGAGAGCCGCACUUUGAUGAAAGGUUUCUGUGGCGAGGGAAAAUUGGUUAAUCGCAGCACUCCUUACACGUGCGUACCCUAAUUUGCAUCUUAUCCCUACAAUUUUCAUCUGUGUGCCAUUUUUAGUUUGUUUUCAAACUAUAGUCCAAACUAUAACUCUGCUUGCCAAUCUGCUUUCGGUGCAAUCAAUAUUGACUGCCACAACCAAGUGGCUCUCGAAAUUUGGUCAAAUUAUUACGAUUUUAUAGCCGCCAUUGUCUACUGCAGCGACGCCAAUUGGAGGCCAACGGGGAGACACUUUCUGUCUUGCUGGCAGCUGCUCUCAUAUUUAUGUGUGUGUGCGUACUCGGCGUAGUUGCGUAUACGCAAUGUCAUUAAAUUAAGUCUGACAUCGUUAUUAUGACUACAAACAAAUAUCAAUUAAAUUUGAAUAAAAAUGCAAUACACAUAAAUCGAGUUCGGAUUCGGGAGCGAGAGAGAGUUUAUGGGGAUAUAUAUAUAAGCCAUCAGAAAGCGGAAAUUAAGAUGCAUGGAGUGCCAAAUGAGGAGCAACCAGUAC